rnacentral:rRNA from 2 species
CAGGAUGAACGCUGGCGGCGUGCCUAAUACAUGCAAGUCGAGCGACUGAUUAGAAGCUUGCUUCUAUGACGUUAGCGGCGGACGGGUGAGUAACACGUGGGCAACCUGCCUGUAAGACUGGGAUAACUUCGGGAAACCGAAGCUAAUACCGGAUAGGAUCUUCUCCUUCAUGGGAGAUGAUUGAAAGAUGGUUUCGGCUAUCACUUACAGAUGGGCCCGCGGUGCAUUAGCUAGUUGGUGAGGUAACGGCUCACCAAGGCAACGAUGCAUAGCCGACCUGAGAGGGUGAUCGGCCACACUGGGACUGAGACACGGCCCAGACUCCUACGGGAGGCAGCAGUAGGGAAUCUUCCGCAAUGGACGAAAGUCUGACGGAGCAACGCCGCGUGAGUGAUGAAGGCUUUCGGGUCGUAAAACUCUGUUGUUAGGGAAGAACAAGUACGAGAGUAACUGCUCGUACCUUGACGGUACCUAACCAGAAAGCCACGGCUAACUACGUGC